rnacentral:rRNA from 1 species
UACUCCUACGGGAGGCAGCAGUAGGGAAUCUUCCACAAUGGACGAAAGUCUGAUGGAGCAACGCCGCGUGAAUGAAGAAGGUCUUCGGAUCGUAAAAUCCUGUUGUCAGAGAAGAAUAUGAGUAAUAGUAACUGAUUAUUCACUGACGGUAUCUAACCAGCAAGUCACGGCUAACUACGUGCCAGCAGCCGCGGUAAU